GAUGAACGCUGGCGGCGUGCCUAAUACAUGCAAGUCGAGCGAACAGACGAGGAGCUUGCUCCUCGGACGUUAGCGGCGGACGGGUGAGUAACACGUGGAUAACCUACCUAUAAUACGGGGAUAACUUCGGAAAACCGGAGCUAAUACCGGAGAAUAUAUUGAACCGCAUGGUUCAAUAGUGAAAGACGGUUUUUCCGUCACUUAUAGAUGGAUCCGCGCCGCAUCAGCUUGUUGGUGAAGUAACGGCUUACCAAGGCAACGAUGCGUAGCCGGCCAGAGAGGGUGACCGGCGACAUAGGGACUGAAAGACGGCCGAGACUCCUACGGGACGCAGCAGUGGGGAAUACUGCACAAUAAGCGGAAGCCUAAUGCAGCAACGCCGCGUGCGGAAUAACUGCCUUCGGGUUGAAAACCGCUUUCGCCUGUAACGAAGCACGAGUGACGGGAAUGGGUAAAGAAACACCGGCUAACUACGUG
rnacentral:rRNA from 1 species